UGUGUGUCUGUAUGUGUGUGUGUCUCUGUAUGUAUGUGUCUGUAUCAUACAGAGACACACACAUACAGACACACACA